rnacentral:lncRNA from 1 species
AAACAUCAAGAGCUGAAAUUAGGUCUAAUGUGCGCCCCGGAUCGGUGUAAUGUGCGCCACUCAUUAUGACAAGUCUUCAGGGCACAUUACACCAAACAAUUUGGAGACCUGUGAUCUUUGGGUCUAAUAUGCGCCAAAGGUCCGUCACAAUGUGCGGCACACAUUAGGUCGGGCCCCUAAGGCGCAUAUUAUGAUAACCAACAACAAUUAUGAUUUCUCUCCCAUAAAAGACCAGUCUUCUUCGAUUCUUCUUCUUCUUUUCCAAUUCUUCGAUUCUUUUUCUUCGUUUUUGAUUCUUUGAUUCUUUUUUUAUUUUUUUAUUCUUCUUAUUCUUCUUUUAUUCUUCUUUUUCUUCUUCAUUUCUUCUUCUUUUUUUAUUAGUCUUCUUCUUUUUUGGUUUUUCUUCUUCUUCUUCAAUUCUUCUUUUUUUUCUUCGAUUCUUCUUUUUCUUCUUCCUUUUUAUAGGUUCACAACCUACCAUGUGGUAAAAUUGCCACAUAGGACCAAUGUAUGGUCAACCAACACAAAUAUGACCAAGAUGACUACUAAAAAUUCGAGCAGUUUUCGUGUCUGAAUAAAGGUCGAUGAAAAUCGACAUAGAGUCACAUAUAGUGACCUUACCACCAUUCAGGAACUAAUAGCCAUGUUAUAUCCAUAUAACUUCUNN